rnacentral:rRNA from 1 species
AAUAUUGGACAAUGGGGGCAACUCUGAGCCAGCCAUGCUGCGUGUGUGAAGAAUGUUUUCGGCUUGUAAAGCACUUUAAGAUGGGAGGAAGGGCUUUAGGCUAAUACCGUGAAGUUGUGACGUUACCAACAGAAUAAGCACUGUCUCACUCGGUGCCAGCAGCCGCGGUAAUACAGAGGGUGCAAGCGUUAAUCGGAAUUACUGGGCGUAAAGCGCGCGUAGGUGGUGCAGUAAGAUUGGUGUGGAAUCCCCGGGCUUAACCUGGGAGCUGCGUUCAGAACUGCUGAGCUAGAGUACGGUAGAGGGUAGUGGAAUUUCCUGUGUAGCGGUGAAAUGCGUAGAUAUAGGAAGGAACACCAGUGGCGAAGGCGACUACCUGGACUGAUACUGACACUGAGGUGCGAAAGCGUGGGGAGCAAACA